rnacentral:rRNA from 1 species
GAUGAACGCUGGCGGCGUGCCUAAUACAUGCAAGUCGAGCGAAUGGAUUAAGAGCGUGCUCUUAUGAAGUUAGCGGCGGACGGGUGAGUAACACGUGGGUAACCUGCCCAUAAGACUGGGAUAACUCCGGGAAACCGGGGCUAAUACCGGAUAACAUCUUGAACCGCAUGGUUCGAAAUUGAAAGGCGGCUUCGGCUGUCACUUAUGGAUGGACCCGCGUCGCAUUAGCUAGUUGGUGAGGUAACGGCUCACCAAGGCAACGAUGCGUAGCCGACCUGAGAGGGUGAGCGGCCACACUGGGACUGAGACACGGCCCAGACUCCUACGGGAGGCAGCAGUAGGGAAUCUUCCGCAAUGGACGAAAGUCUGACGGAGCAACGCCGCGUGAGUGAUGAAGGCUUUCGGGUCGUAAAACUCUGUUGUUAGGGAAGAACAAGUGCUAGUUGAAUAAGCUGACACCUUGACGGUACCUAACCAGAAAGCCACGGCUAACUACGUGCCAGCCGCCGCGGUAA